rnacentral:rRNA from 1 species
CCCUUAGAUGUUCUGGGCUGCACGCGCGCUACACUGAUGCGUUCAACGAGUUUAUGACCUUGCCCGAUAGGGUUGGGUAAUCUUUUUAAAUCGCAUCGUGAUGGGGAUAGAUUAUUGCAAUUAUUAAUCUUCAACGAGGAAUUCCUAGUAAGCGCGAGUCAUCAGCUCGUGCUGAUUACGUCCCUGCCCUUUGUACACACCGCCCGUCGCUCCUACCGAUUGAACGUGCUGGUGAAGCGUUAGGACUGGCCUCCCGUGUCGGGUCUCCCUUCAACGGGGCGCCGGGAAUUUCGUUGAACCCUCCCGUUUAGAGGAAGGAGAAGUCGUAACA